UUCGUCCAAGUGAAGCAGAGGACAGUGGCGGACGGGUGAGUAACGCGUGAGGAACCUGCCUUUCAGAGGGGGACAACAGUUGGAAACGACUGCUAAUACCGCAUGACACAUAGGUGUCGCAUGGCACUUAUGUCAAAGAUUUAUCGCUUCAAGAUGGCCUCGCGUCUGAUUAGCUAGUUGGCGGGGUAACGGCCCACCAAGGCGACGAUCAGUAGCCGGACUGAGAGGUUGAACGGCCACAUUGGGACUGAGACACGGCCCAAACUCC
rnacentral:rRNA from 1 species